rnacentral:rRNA from 1 species
GAUGAACGCUGGCGGCGUGCCUAAUACAUGCAGGUCGAGCGAACGGACGAGAAGCUUGCUUCUCUGAUGUUAGCGGCGGACGGGUGAGUAACACGUGGAUGACCUACCUAUAAGACUGGGAUAACUUCGGGAAACCGGAGCUAAUACCGGAUAAUAUUUUGAACCGCAUGGUUCAAAAGUGAAAGACGGUCUUGCUGUCACUUAUAGAUGGAUCCGCGCUGCAUUAGCUAGUUGGUAAGGUAACGGCUUACCAAGGCAACGAUGCAUAGCCGACCUGAGAGGGUGAUCGGCCACACUGGAACUGAGACACGGUCCAGACUCCUACGGGAGGCAGCGGUAGGGAAUCUUCCGCAAUGGGCGAAAGCCUGACGGAGCAACGCCGCGUGAGUGAUGAAGGUCUUCGGAUCGUAAAACUCUGUUAUUAGGGAAGAACAUAUGUGUAAGUAACUGUGCACAUCUUGACGGUACCUAAUCAGAAAGCCACGGCUAACUACGUG